UGGGUGCAAGAUACAUUAGUGGUUGAUUCGUUUGAACCACUAGUCACCUAGUCUCCCUAAAGUAUACAUGCUCUCUGAUGACUGUAACUUGGUGGAGUUUUAAAUUAUAGACAGAUACGGGGCAGACACAA
rnacentral:snoRNA from 1 species